UGGAUGCUUUCAAGAGAGAGCUAGGUAGGGCUCUUAAAAUUAGCAGAGUCAGGGGAUAUGGGGAGAAGGCAGGAACGGGGUACUGAUUGGGGAUGAUCAGCCAUGAUCACAUUGAAUGGCGGUGCUGGCUCGAAGGGCCAAAUGGCCUACUCCUGCACCUAUUGUCUAUUGUCUAAAAUGGUACACAGCAGUGCUACAAUUUCUGGACCACCAAACGCACCAUUGUCCUGUGGUGGUUUGUAUCAUGUUUUGUUCAGAUUUAUGUUAUAUUUUACAAGUUAUUCAAAUUUUUAACUUUACAAAACCCCACUUUGAGAAAAAUGACGAAGUUGCAGUGGCAGUUACAGCUAUGAUGUCACAAUGGGAGUUUGGCCCUGUUGCACCUCCCAGGACACUGAGUCCUGGCGGCAAGUGCAAUUGGAUUUUUUUUUUCCUGGCAGCAAGUGCAAUUGGAUUUUGUUCUCCAGAGCCUCAGAAUAAAAAGGCUUAUUUUGGAAAGGAGGAAUUUCUUUCGUCAUAAGGUGGUGAAUCUGUGGAAUUAAUUGUCACAGAUAGCUGUGGAGGCCAAGACAAUGGCGGAGGUAGGUAUGGGUGUCAGGGGUUAUGGGGAGAAGGUAGGAGAAUGGGGUUGAGAGUGAAAGAUAGAUCAGCCAUGAAUGAAUACAUAGACUUGAUUAGUUGCAUAACGUAAUUCUACUCCUACAACCUAUGAACAUAUGAACUUAUGAAACGUCUUUCAAGAUAAGUAAGAGUGAGGCUUUGAACGGUUUCAAAAUCAAAGAUGGGAUUUGUACAAUGGAGUCACGGUUUGACCAGGGCAUGUGGAAGUCAAUGAAAAUAAACACAUGAAUGCAGCUGUUUUUCUCUGCGGUCAAACACAUAUGUUCAGUGGGUUCACAACAUCUGGUGAAGUUUAUUGUAGAGUCAUCUGACUGAUGUGUGAAAGUUCCAAUGUGUAGGAGCAAAGUAUGUAAAGUUUGCUCUUCACAAACUGUUUCUGGCAUUCUCUAUAAAUAAUGCUGUAACUGAGUGUGUGGUCCAUAUAGCAUGACAGUGUUAAAGCAAUAAUCAAUGUUCACAGCCUAUAUUACAUACACAGAACAGCUUCCCCUUUGCUGAACAAUGAACUGAUGAACGUAUCUCAACUCUCUGUGACCUUUACUUUUAUUAAGUUUGCCAGAUGUUGAUGGUGUUUCAUUUUGAUUGUUGUCACAAAUAUUAUGUAAUGUUUAUUCUUGAAUAUUUUUCAGAUCAGAGGACAUGGGAGCAGAAUGAUGCCAUUCAGCCCAUCGAGUCUGCUCCACCAUUCGAUCGUAGCUGAUCUAUUAUUUCCUCUCAACCCCAUUCUCCUCCCUUUUCCCCGAAACCUUCAACAACCAUACGAACCAAGAACCUACCAAUCUCUGCUUUAAAAAUACCCAAUGACGACAUCCACCGCCGUCUGUGGAAUGAAUUCCACAGAUUCACCACCCUCUGACUAAAGAAAUUCCUCCUCAUCUCCAUUCUAAAGAUGCUGCUUGAUCUGAUGAGAUUUUUCCGUGUGCUGUUUUCUGAUCUUGGUGAAGUGCCUUAUACAAUCGCACUUACUUCGAGAAAAAAGGUUUGCUUUCGUAAACUGCAGGUUAUGCAAACAUCGAUGGGGCAAUGGACAGAGCCACUCCCUGAGGAAGCUGUGCUGAUGAAUGCUGUUACACUGUAGUGGAAAUGGGUGGGGUCAAUAAUGUCUUUCUUGUAAUGUGGGUAUCCUCAGAGGGUUUCCAGUCACAGGGUCAUACAGCGUGGAAGCAGGCUCUUUGGCCCAACUUGGCCACAACAACCAACAUGUCCCAUCUACACUAGUCCCACCUGCCAGCGUUUGGCCCAUAUCUGGAGGUAUUUGUUUUCAAACUUCUAUACCUCUUGCCUGAUGGGAGAGGGGAGAAGAAGGAGUGAGGGUGAGACUGGUCCUUGA